rnacentral:pre_miRNA from 1 species
AUCACCUGGAGAGCUUGUUAAAAUGCAGAUUCUGAUUCUCACCUGGGGCCUGAGAUUUUGCAUUUCUAGCAAGCUCUCAAGUGAUGGCUC